AGUUUGAGGACUGCGCGACACAAUGUCGCAAAACCCAUCCUGAUAGUCGGCUUCGCUCUCAUUUUCCAACUCUUCCUCGUCCAAAGGAAUUUCUCCGCUGCCAACCUGACAGAAGCGUGUUACAACUCGGUUUUAUGAAUUUUGUGGAACAUGGAUCAAUGUACUAGGGACGGACUGACUUACCUAGACCAACCCGAUCGCUAGUAGCUUCACGAUGAAUCCAGAAAGACACCCAACUUAGGACUACUAUCAAAACACAGGGUACGUAAACCUGACAGAACCGUGAAGAGAAGAAUAUUACAAGAGGAAAAGAAUAAUUUUUUAUUCGUUAAUGUACUAAAAUUUGAAGGAAACUUGAAGAACUGAGAAUUCCCCUUCGCGACGAACAAAAGUUAAAUUCCUGUACGGUGAACCCAUGAGAUCGAACUGUGAAAGAGCCAUUCCAGGGACGAAAUUUACGGAGGAGCCCUCUUGCCAUUCGUAAAUUAAUUGACCGGACGUAUAUGCAUCUAAAAACGUACAAUAUUAAAGUUAAAACAUAUUAGAAAGGCUUCCAAUCCAACGCAAAUUUUGUUACGCUCGCAUCAUCUUGUAUCGUAUUGAAAAAUGAUAAUAUCUACGUACGUUAUCGGAUAGAAAAAGGGCAAAAUGAAGGCUAGACACUAUGGAAUUCCGAAAGAAACAGGAAAUUUACGUGUAUCGUAAACCACCGGCUGCCAGGAUAAUAUCGGCAUAUGCACGUAUAUAUGUAUGCAUAUUUUUGCUUGGUAAUAAACACUCGUGACGUAUGUCCAAUAUCUCUCUACAGAAAUCUUUGAUAUCGAUUCUUUACCGAAGAUAUCAAAAUGCAUUUAUUUAUCUUUUUAGUAUUAAUUGAAUUUCAUUUUACGUAGUUUCUGAGUUGUUGGUAAAGAAGAAAUAGCGUUCCUUGUACUUUUGUAGCUGCUGAGUUACUGGUAAAGAAGGAACGCCGUUCCUCGUACUUUUUGCUGCAGGAGUCUUGCAAGUAAACUUGGGAAAGUCACCACGAGAGGGCAGUCGCGUCGGUAUAAGAAAACUAUAUCAGUUUAGCGCAUUUCAAUUCAUUUUUCCUAAAAUUUUGAUUUCUAAGUUACGUUAUUGUUGCAGCAAAUGAACGAUAUAUAUAAAUAAAUAUAUAUAUAUAAUAUGUAUACAUAAUGUGUGUAGCCGGCAGACAAAGAUUAAAAAAGUAUCGAAAAAUUAAUGAACCAUGCGUAUCAAAAAAUAUAAGAAAUAGAAAAAUUUAUCUCGGACGAAAAUUGGAAACACAAGGUACAGUUCGUCUUUUAUAAUGUCGAUUCCACCGCGUCUACUUUCUGGCUACCAUAACGCACGUUAUUACUUGAAAGGCUGAAAACAUUUGACAAGAGGCUUUUUUCGUUACGAGCAUUCGAAUCGUUUUAAGGAUACUUACAACUUCCGAGAAUAAGCGGACAAGAUUGCCGAUCCAUGGGAAAAUUUCGAAGCUCCAUUGGACAUUUUGCUUUUAUAGUAAGCCUGUUGUAAACACGAAUAUAACGUAUGGUUGUAAUCCACGUUGAAUUAAUGUUAAA